UACGGGGGGAGCAAGCGUUGUUCGGAUUUACUGGGCGUAAAGGGCGCGUAGGCGGCGUGACAAGUCACUUGUGAAAUCUCCGGGCUUAACCCGGAGCGGCCAAGUGAUACUGUCGUGCUAGAGUGCGGAAGGGGCUACUGGAAUUCUUGGUGUAGCGGUGAAAUGCGUAGAUAUCAAGAGGAACACCUGAGGUGAAGACGGGUUGCUGGGCUGACACUGACGCUGAGGCGCGAAAGCCAGGGGAGCAAACGGG
rnacentral:rRNA from 1 species